GAUGAACGCUGGCGGCGUGCUUAACACAUGCAAGUCGAACGAAGCACUUUAUUACAAUUUCUUCGGAAUGACGAUUUAGUGACUGAGUGGCGGACGGGUGAGUAACGCGUGGGUAACCUGCCUUAUACAGGGGAAUAACAGUUAGAAAUGACUGCUAAUACCGCAUAAGCGCACAGGAUUGCAUGAUCUGGUGUGAAAAACUCCGGUGGUAUAAGAUGGACCCGCGUCUGAUUAGCUGGUUGGUGAGGUAACGGCCCACCAAGGCGACGAUCAGUAGCCGACCUGAGAGGGUGACCGGCCACAUUGGGACUGAGACACGGCCCAAACUCCUACGGGAGGCAGCAGUGGGGAAUAUUGCACAAUGGGGGAAACCCUGAUGCAGCGACGCCGCGUGAGCGAAGAAGUAUUUCGGUAUGUAAAGCUCUAUCAGCAGGGAAGAAAAA
rnacentral:rRNA from 1 species